ACAGGAAGUAGUAAUACUGGAAGCAAACACACCUGCCCCGAUUCUGAUGUUCCCUCAGUGUUUUAACGGGAAUGCCUCAGUGUUUCACUGUUAAACAAACACAAGCUGCAAGAAUUUACUUGCAGGAGAUCUGCUCUACAAUAAAUAGAAGCCAAGUUCUUUAAAUCACAGGAAUGUGAAACCUGUGAUGACAUGAAAGCUCGGGUGUAUACAGAGAAACGGAGAGUGCCCAAAAUUGGUAAAUAUAUGGUAAAUAUAAACUUACUGCCUCAUUAAAAAGUCCUUUGGAAGGUAACUGAA